rnacentral:rRNA from 1 species
UCGAACGGGGAUAAGACAUCGGAAGAGCUGCUUGCAGAAUGGAAGAAGUCAUAUUCUAGUGGCGGACGGGUGAGUAACGCGUGGGCAACCUGCCUUAUACAGGGGGAUAACAGCUGGAAACAGCUGCUAAUACCGCAUAAGCGCACAGCGGCGCAUGACGCAGUGUGAAAAACUGAGGUGGUAUAAGAUGGGCCCGCGUCUGAUUAGCUGGUUGGGAGGGUAACGGCCUACCAAGGCGACGAUCAGUAGCCGGCCUGAGAGGGCGGAUGGCCACAUUGGGACUGAGACACGGCCCAGACUCCUACGGGAGGCAGCAGUGGGGAAUAUUGCACAAUGGGGGGAACCCUGAUGCAGCGACGCCGCGUGAGUGAAGAAGUAUUUCGGUACGUAAAGCUCUAUCACCACGGAAAGAAAAAAGGACGGUACCUGAGUAAGAAGCCCCGGCUAACUACGUGCCAACAGCCGCAGUAAUACGUAGGGGGCAAGCGUUAUCCGGAAUUACUGGGUGUAAAGGGAGCGUAGACGGCAAUGCAAGUCCGGAGUGGAAUGCGGCAGCUCAACUGCCGAACUGCUCUGGAAACUGUAUGGCUUGAGUGCAGGAGGGGUAAGCGGAAUUCCUGGUGUAGCGGUGAAAUGCGUAGAUCUUUGGAGAAACACCGGUGGCGAAGGCGGCUUACUGGACUGUAACUGACGUUGAGGCUCGAA